rnacentral:rRNA from 1 species
GAUGAACGCUUGCGGCGUGCCUAAUACAUGCAAGUCGAGCGAACAGACGAGGAGCUUGCUCCUCUGACGUUAGCGGCGGACGGGUGAGUAACACGUGGAUAACCUACCUAUAAGACUGGGAUAACUUCGGGAAACCGGAGCUAAUACCGGAUAAUAUAUUGAACCGCAUGGUUCAAUAGUGAAAGACGGUUUUGCUGUCACUUAUAGAUGGAUCCGCGCCGCAUUAGCUAGUUGGUAAGGUAACGGCUUACCAAGGCAACGAUGCGUAGCCGACCUGAGAGGGUGAUCGGCCACACUGGAACUGAGACACGGUCCAGACUCCUACGGGAGGCAGCAGUAGGGAAUCUUCCGCAAUGGGCGAAAGCCUGACGGAGCAACGCCGCGUGAGUGAUGAAGGUCUUCGGAUCGUAAAACUCUGUUAUUUAGGGAAGAACAAAUGUGUAAGUAACUAUGCACGUCUUGACGGUACCUAAUCAGAAAGCCACGGCUAACUACGUGCCAGCAGCCGCGGUAAUACGUAGGUGGCAAGCGUUACCCGGAAUUAUUGGGCGUAAAGCGCGCGUAGGCGGUUUUUUAAGUCUGAUGUGAAAGCCCACGGCUCAACCGUGGAGGGUCAUUGGAAACUGGGAAAACUUGAGUAUGUUUGAGGCAGGCGGAAUGCGUGGUGUAGCGGUGAAAUGCUUAGAUAUCACGCAGAACCCCGAUUGCGAAGGCAGCCUGCCAAACCAUGACUGACGCUGAUGCACGAAAGCGUGGGGAUCAAACAGGAUUAGAUACCCUGGUAGUCCACGCAGUAAACGAUGAUCACUAGCUGUUUGCGAUACAGUGUAAGCGGCACAGCGAAAGCGUUAAGUGAUCCACCUGGGGAGUACGCCGGCAACGGUGAAACUCAAAGGAAUUGACGGGGGCCCGCACAAGCGGAGGAACAUGUGGUUUAAUUCGAUGAUACGCGAGGAACCUUACCCGGGUUUGAACGCAUUCGGACCGAGGUGGAAACACCUUUUCUAGCAAUAGCCGUUUGCGAGGUGCUGCAUGGUUGUCGUCAGCUCGUGCCGUGAGGUGUCGGCUUAAGUGCCAUAACGAGCGCAACCCUUGCCACUAGUUACUAACAGGUGAUGCUGAGGACUCUGGUGGGACUGCCAGCGUAAGCUGCGAGGAAGGCGGGGAUGACGUCAAAUCAGCACGGCCCUUACAUCCGGGGCGACACACGUGUUACAAUGGCGUGGACAAAGGGAUGCCACCUGGCGACAGGGAGCGAAUCCCCAAACCACGUCUCAGUUCGGAUCGGAGUCUGCAACCCGACUCCGUGAAGCUGGAUUCGCUAGUAAUCGCGCAUCAGCCAUGGCGCGGUGAAUACGUUCCCGGGCCU